AUGAACGCUGGCGGCGUGCUUAACACAUGCAAGUCGAACGAUGAAGCCCAGCUUGCUGGGUGGAUUAGUGGCGAACGGGUGAGUAACACGUGAGUAACCUGCCCUUAACUCUGGGAUAAGCCUGGGAAACUGGGUCUAAUACCGGAUAGGAGCGUCCACCGCAUGGUGGGUGUUGGAAAGAUUUAUCGGUUUUGGAUGGACUCGCGGCCUAUCAGCUUGUUGGUGAGGUAAUGGCUCACCAAGGCGACGACGGGUAGCCGGCCUGAGAGGGUGACCGGCCACACUGGGACUGAGACACGGCCCAGACUCCUACGGGAGGCAGCAGUGGGGAAUAUUGCACAAUGGGCGCAAGCCUGAUGCAGCGACGCCGCGUGAGGGAUGACGGCCUUCGGGUUGUAAACCUCUGUCAGUAGGGAAGAAGCGAAAGUGACGGUACCUGCAGAAGAAGCACCGGCUAACUACGUG
rnacentral:rRNA from 1 species